UAAUACAUGCAAGUCGAACGAUACUGAGGAGCUUGCUCUUCGCGAAAGUGGCGCACGGGUGCGUAACGCGUAUGCAACCUACCUUAAUCAGGGGGAUAGCCCGAAGAAAUUCGGAUUAACACCGCAUAAAAACACAGAAUAGCAUUAUUCAAUGUUCAAAUAUUUAUAGGAUUAAGAUGGGCAUGCGUGUCAUUAGCUAGUUGGCGGGGUAACGGCCCACCAAGGCGACGAUGACUAGGGGAUCUGAGAGGAUGACCCCCCACACUGGUACUGAGACACGGACCAGACUCCUACGGGAGGCAGCAGUAAGGAAUAUUGGUCAAUGGAGGCAACUCUGAACCAGCCAUGCCGCGUGCAGGAAGACGGCCCUAUGGGUUGUAAACUGCUUUUAUCCGGGAAUAAACCUCUGCUCGUGAGCAGAGCUGAAUGUACCGGAAGAAUAAGGAUCGGCUAACUCCGUGCCAGCAGCCGCGGUAAUACGGAGGAUCCAAGCGUUAUCCGGAUUUAUUGGGUUUAAAGGGUGCGUAGGCGGCAGUUUAAGUCAGAGGUGAAAGACGGUAGCUCAACUAUCGCAGUGCCUUUGAUACUGAAUUGCUUGAAUGAACUAGAGGUAGGCGGAAUGAGACAAGUAGCGGUGAAUGCAUAGAUAUGUCUCAGAACACCGAUGCCGAAGGCAGCUUACUAUGGUUUUAUUGACGGCUGAGGCACGAAAGCGUGGGGAUCAAACAGGAUUAGAUACCCUGGUAGUCCCCCCCUAACAAUGAAACUCGUGUUACGAUUAAAGUUA
rnacentral:rRNA from 1 species